rnacentral:rRNA from 1 species
UACGAAGGGGGCUAGCGUUGUUCGGAAUUACUGGGCGUAAAGCGCGUGCAGGCGGUCCUUCAAGUCAGAGGUGAAAGCCCAGAGCUCAACUCUGGAACGGCCUUUGAGACUAGAGGACUUGGGUACGGGAGAGGUGAGUGGAAUUCCGAGUGUAGAGGUGAAAUUCGUAGAUAUUCGGAAGAACACCAGUGGCGAAGGCGGCUCACUGGCCCGUUACCGACGCUCAGGCGCGACAGCGUGGGGAGCAAACAGG